UACGGGGGGGGCAAGCGUUGUUCGGAAUUACUGGGCGUAAAGGGCUCGUAGGCGGCCAACUAAGUCGGACGUGAAAUCCCUCGGCUUAACCGGGGAACUGCGUCCGAUACUGGAUGGCUUGAGUUUGGGAGAGGGGAUGCGGAAUCCAGGUGUAGCGGUGAAAUGCGUAGAUAUCUGGAGGAAUACCGGUGGCGAAGGCGGCGAUCCUCGGACCGAACAUUGACGCUGACUGAGCGAAAGCUAGGGGAGCAAACGGGGAUUAAGAAACCCGUGGUA
rnacentral:rRNA from 1 species